rnacentral:lncRNA from 1 species
CUCUCCACCUUCUCCUAGUUUCAGUGGGGAGAUGAGAAGACAAUGAGGGGAAUAAAGAAGUCCAGGGAGGAGCGCUCGGAGGAGGAGGAGGAGGAGGAGGAACCCGAAGGAGCCAGCUGCUGGAGGAGAGGGUGUCUGUCUUGGCUCCUUGCCAAGGCGUGAGGAGAGAGGCUGUCCUGAAUGAUCAGAAGGCAGAGUGACCAGAGACAAGAGGGAGGGCUGGCAGCCUCCUGUGGGGAGACGGCGGGGCAGAUGCUGGUGAGCGGAAGCGAAGGUACAGCAACCCAGGCAGCUUCAUCUCCAGGCCUGGCUACUGAAGUGCGGCCUCCAGCAAGGCUCUCCCAAGUCCCAUGGAAGACUCCAGAACAAUGGACGAGGCAGAAAUUGGAGGACCUGGAACACAGAGGGAAAUUGAGGCCAACAGUGGGUGUUUGGACGAACGGAGGCAAGAUGGUGCACUUCCGGGUUCUUCUUCACCACCAACUCUUCCCUCGCGUGGGAAAAGGCAGCCGGCGCCCAGGAAGGUGCAGACCAACUGGGCAUGCGCCAGGUGACGUCAAUCCAAAGAGACCAAGAUUUACCUGGUCGCACCUGCGGAACGCCCCGGACAGCCCGUGCCCCGCCUAUUGCCCUCCCACUCCUAGAAAAGCCGCUCUUGCCAAGGUCCCACGCGGGCCUUCUCACAGCCCCACUCCUGUGGGUAUGUCCGGACUGUGGGAACUCCGUCCGAGAGCCCCACGGGGGACUCUGUCGGCCUCCUUCGCUGGAGGCCGAUAGACAUCUCCCCCACACCUUAGUG